CGGCCGCUACUUCCCUAGUGAGGAAUGGUUGAUCCUGGCAGAGGCUACUGCUAUUGGGAUUCGAUUAACCCAUGCAAGUCGAACGAAUUUAGAUUCGUGGCGUACGGCUCAGUAACACGUGGAUAACCUACCCUUAGGACCGGGAUAACCCUGGGAAACUGGGGCUAAUACUGGAUAGAUGAUUUUUCCUGGAAUGGGUUUUUGUUUAAAUGUUUUUUCGCCUAAGGAUGGGUCUGCGGCAGAUUAGGUAGUUGGUUAGGUAAUGGCUUACCAAGCCUAUGAUCUGUACGGGUUGCGAGAGCAAGGGCCCGGAGAUGGAACCUGGGUACAAGGUUCCUGACCCUACAGGGUGCAGCAAGCGCGAAACCUCCGCAAUGUACGCAAGUGCUACGGGGGGAUCCCAAGCGUUAUGCUUAAAGGUUUGAUUUUUCUAGUCUCGUAAACGCAUAUGACCAUGACAGCUGGGCCAUUACUUGAGCCAACCCUCGCCUUAAAAACUAUAAUCUCCUUGGUAAAUGCUUCUUAUGGACCUAAAUUUUUUCCUUCCAUAUUUACAAAUUACAGACGUACGUUUCCUGACUUAUUAUGACACAUAUAUGAAAUGAAUAUGUAGCUUAAGGUGGUCGACCGCUAGCUUGAUCAAAUCUGGCGGAGUAACUCUCCUAAUUUUAGUCUUCACCUUCUCUUCUUAACUUUAAAUGUAUUCAUCGCACUUAUCACGUAACCCUGCUACAGCUACCCGAAACACACCUGAAGGACAGUCAGCUAUAAGCUCACUCCACUCUCUAGAC
rnacentral:rRNA from 1 species